rnacentral:lncRNA from 1 species
CCUUGAAGCUGUGUUGCCGGCUUGUGAAUCUGGUGUGGAAGAUGACCAAAUGGCCCAGGUUGUGGAAUGCUUAUUUUCCCUUCUAUCAGACUGUAUGUGGGAUACUCCCAUUGCUCAGGCCAAACAUGCUAUUCAGAUAAAGGAAAAAGGACAAGAAAUAAAAUCACAGCAAGGAGAGUUGGAAGAAGAAGAUGAAAACCUUCCUAUACAAGAAGUAUCUUUUGAUGCAGAGAAAGCUCAGUGUUGCCUAGUGGAGAAUGGACAGGUUUUAACUCAUGGCAG